rnacentral:rRNA from 1 species
UGGGGAAUUUUCCGCAAUGGGCGAAAGCCUGACGGAGCAACGCCGCGUGAGGGAGGAAGGCUUUUGGGUUGUAAACCUCUUUUCUCAAGGAAGAUUUCAGACGGUACUUGAGGAAUCAGCAUCGGCUAACUCCGUGCCAGCAGCCGCGGUAAUACGGAGGGUCCAAGCGUUGUCCGAAAUUACUGGGUGUAAAGGGUGUGCAGGCGGAGCGGUAAGUCAGAGGUGAAAGCCCGCAGCUUAACUGCGGAAUGGCCUUUGAUACUGUCGUUCUUGAGUCCCGGAGAAGCUAUCGGAAUUCGUGGUGUAGCGGUGAAAUGCGUAGAUAUCACGAGGAACACCAGAAGCGUAAGCGGAUGGCUAGACGGUGACUGACGCUCAGGCACGAAAGCGUGGGGAGCAAACAGGAUUAGAUACCCGCGUAGUCC